rnacentral:rRNA from 1 species
CGAACGCUGGUAGCGUGGAUUAGGCAUGCAAGUCGAACGGGAUCCGCGAGGUAGCAAUACUGAGCGGUGAGAGUGGCGGAUUGGGGAGGAACACGUGAGCAACCUGUCCUUGAGUCGGGGAAAACCGCGGGAAACUGCGGCUAAUACCGGAUGUGGCGUCCGACGACAUCGUCGGAGCGCUAAAGGGGGCCCGCAAGGGCUCUCGCUCUUCGAGGGGCUCGCGCACCAUCAGCUUGUUGGCGGGUAACGGCCCACCAAGGCGUACGGUUAGCUGGUCUGAGAGGAUGACCAGCCCCACUGGGACUGAGAUACUGCCCAGACUCCUACGGGAGGCUGCAGUCGAGGAUCAUUUGCAAUGGGCGAAAGCCUGACAAUGCGACGCUGCGUGGAAGGAUGAAGGCCUUCGGGUUGUAAACUCCUGUCAUAUGGGAACAGGCGAGGGGACCCAACACGUCCCUUAGUUGAGUGUACCUUAAGAGGAAUGGGCGGCUAACUCUGUGCCAGCCGCCGC